ensembl:lncRNA
GCCAAAACUGCUUCCCACACACACAGCACAGAGACAAGCUGCAACACAGUGGAAUGAUAUCCCGUGUGAGGCAAUUUCGUGAGGUUGUUCUGUGGUGUCCUGCUCGUUGGUGGUUUAAAGUCAACCGGCACAUUUCGCAGCGUCUUUUUGCAGCUCGUGGUUUCUGUGUCCAUGGCAGCCCGGAGGAACCCGGCUUCUCUAUCAAUGUCUGCAUCUCAGCACGCGAGCCCUCAUUUCUCUCUGCCAUUUCCUCUCCCAGCGCCACACGCCGUGCGCCGUUGCAUGUGCGCACACAUUCACGUCCAAGAACGCAGCGUGCCGGUGAUAAGAUUGAUUGUGAGAGUCUCAAAGCGACACCUAUAACCUCGUCUGUCAUCAUCAAUGAAGAGAGACUGUUGCAGGACACACUAGGUAUCGACCCACGCACCGAUAUGAACCCCAAAUGCACAUGUAGACACGCAGAAGGAUGCACAUAAGGCAUGACCACAGGCCCUCACACGCCUGCACGAUCACACAGACACACACAUAUACUCACAAUGGCUGAUAAACCGCUGUUGAAGCAGUUGUGAAACAUCAGCAAAACCACAAACUGACAUGGGGGCAGACUGGAGAGAAGAGAUAAAGUAUACAAAGGAAAGAGGGUGGAGAGGGGUGCUGGAGGGUGUGUGUGUGUGUGUGUGUGUGUGUGUGCGACUGUCUUGUGGGUGGGAUGAAGAGCACGGUUCUCAUAAAAAGAAAAGAACGAUUUUUUUGUUGUAAAUUCUUUUGUGAUCACAUUUUCUGAAUAUGAAUCAUCAAUUGGUUAUCUAUGUCUUUCUUUCUGUAUGAUCUGCCUGAGCUGUUAACGCCCGUGCAAAUACAUCCGCCAACACGCCGCAAACACCCCUGACCUCCGAGGUCGAGACGGUCGAGACCCUUUGGCCCCCCGGGGGUCACGCCCUGCCGCACGGAGCCGGGAUCAUGUGGGUCAAGAAAGGAGGAGGAGGAGCAACAAACACACAGCGCGAUGUGUGAUGAUUACAGACAACAGCCAAUAACGAGCGUCCACCUCUGACCUCAUUGCCGUGGAAACGUGAGGGAAUGUCUGUCACCGAGCGAGCAGUCUACCUCAAUCUAUCACCGAAUGGUGACGGAGGGGAGGGGACAAAGGGAGAUGUGGUCAAUGAAAUACCAGCUUCACCCGUUCCUCAGUUUCCCUUUUUUUUCUCUUAUGGGCUCUUGUUCUGUCUUGAAAACAGAAGAAUACCCGUCCUCUUCCCCACUUCUCCUCCCCUUUGUCCAUUUGCUUCUCUAUCAUUUGCCUGUCUGAUGCAUGCUGGGGCAGAAUAAGGCUGACACGCCGGCCUCAGCAGCACCCCGGGGGCUGCCGUCAGCACUUAAACACUUCUUCUCUGUGCUGCUUCCCCCGGCUCUCUCCAGCAGACAUGCAGCCCUCCAGCUGCUGGCAAGUAAAGGAGAAGAUGACAAAUAAAUGGAGAGAAAUAGGGGGUGGGGAGGGGGGGGGGGCAGGGUUGACCAGAAAAAGCCCCCCCCCCCCUUCAUCUUUCCCUCCCUCUCAUGUGUUCUCCACACAGCCUCCCCUCCUCAUCUCAGCCCUAGUGAGGUCACUGACCCCGAGUGAGUACGCCUCAUUACGCAGUCACUCUGUAUCCAUUCGCAUAGAAGGGGGUGUCUAUGUGUCUAUAUAUAUCUGUGUGUGUCUGUGUGUGCACAUGUAUGUGUUGACUAGACGAAACGUAUAUUAUUUGUCAUUGCUUAAAUCACUCUGACGGUUCCAGAAAAGAGGGGUGUCAUUGCCAGGGAGGCGCUGCAAGAUUAAAAGAUGGUGGAUCGAGGAAGAGCCGAACGGAGGAUACAGUGACGCGGAGAUGAGUGGACGGGUGGUGGGAUGUGGAGAGGGUGGAGGGGCGGAGGGUGGCUCGCGUUGGAUCAAAGAUAAUUGUCAGUGGAAGUCAUUAUGCACAUAUUGUAUAGAGAAACCCGAGGACGCUUCCUUCAAACGAUCCCUCUCAUCCUUUCUUCUCUCCUCUUCAUCAUCCUCUUGGUGUCUUCCAUACCAUCGGGGAUUUGAUUGGACACUGAUGGGUCUACUGUGCCCUUGAGGGAGAGAGAGAGAGAGAGAGAGAGGGAGAAAAGUGAGCUAAAAUUGCGGGGACAGGAAUUGUUGGGUACAUGAGACUGAAUCCACACCACCAUCUGCAUUAGUCUGUUACGGAAACACUUACAAAUGGUCCAAAAGGCAGAACAAUCACAUUAUGACUUGGCCCCCGGAGGCUCAGUAAAAAGACCCCAAACAGCAGUGCUGCCGAGGUUUGGACUGGCGAACUCGGUCGCUGUGUCUUUGUCCACGCCUUUAUGUCAUGCAGACUGUGUACUUGUGAUGGUGCAAACAAACGAGGAUGAAAUGAGAAGAAAGUACCCUGUGUUUCCACAGCGACCCCCCCCCCCACCGUCGUCGUCUCCCCAAUUGCGGCCCCCCAAGCUCAUCACUGGAUUCAGGUUGUCUGGUGCCGGUCGGACCGUGAAACUGUCCUGAACACGGCAUUCUUGCACGCUCACAUUGUCACGUGUUACGUGACUGAGACACACGUGAGCCGACGUCCCACCACAUGCAGAGCAGCAUUGAUCAAGGCUGUUAAUGGGCCUUGGUCCCAGUGCAUCUACACCUCUCUCUCUCUCUCUCUCUCCCUCUCUAUGUCUAUGUCUCUCUCUCAUGUCCAUCUGUCUGCAAGUAUAAGCUGAUCACAGCGACACAUACUGAAUGGGAAAUUACUCUGCUGGUGUGGUAUUCGUAGUUGUGAGAGUUUUUGCUGUGGGUGUUCCUGUGUAUUUAGUUAAAGCAGUGUGUAAGUCAGUAUGUCAGUAUAUGUCAGUAUAUGUACACAGUACAACUGAUCAUUUUAGGCUUGAUGUUUCUCAUGCCGUGUGCAAAACAUUCUUCUAUUAACCAUUAAAUAAUGGUGAUGAUGGGUUGCAUUUUACAUGUAAUAAGGUCAUUUUUUUAAUUGACUAAAUAUCUUUUGUAAAAAUGGCAUUCCUGUUCUGGCUGCUUGUGGUGAACCAACACCUGACGGAGACACUAAAACACGCAAUUCUCUCCUUCUCUUAAGACCUUUUUUCAACUUUUUAACUGUUUGUUGUUCAACUUUUUUGUUGUUUGUUGUUGCUUCUCCAUUCAUUCAUGACCUGUCGAGCCACGAGCUUAAACCUGCAACAAUGUAGAGCGCAAAAUUUUGUCAAUAUUUUAGUGUUUAUCUAUAUCUAAAAAUCCUCCUCAUUAAUAUAUUUGUAAUGGGACUAUUUUACUGGGCUAAAAAAUGUAGCCAUGUGAUUAUUUAGAUUUUGCUUCUCACCCCUCCUGACCCCUCUUCCCUUUUCGAGUUCAAACUUGUAGUUUGUAAGGUCGGCUUUCUGAUAAAUGAUAAUGACAUCAUCGUGGUUAUUUUUCAUUUCAAACAUUGAAAGGUUUUCAUUGCCGAAUUCUUCCCACUGUGACGAGUUAAAUGAACUGUAUGUGUUAAUCUGGUGGAGUUUGCCUUUAAUUUGUUACCCAUGCUUAUCUGUCUGUCUUGUCCAUCUGUCCAUUUAUAUGUAUGACACACACACACUGAGUGGGAAAUUAGCCUGCUGCUGUGACACUGCUCUUCGCGUGUGUGUGUGUGUGUGUGCGUGAGAGAGAGAGAGAGAGAGAGAGAUAUGUGUUGCAGUGUGUGCCUUUGUUUGGCCCCGCUCUGUCUACCCAGAUGGUGAUAUCUGGUGAUUAUCUACUGUAUGUAUCGCCUCCUCCAUCCUCUCGCCCAGUCAGUUCCCACCCUUGCAAAGGUCCCAUUCGUAGAGC